rnacentral:rRNA from 1 species
AUUGAACGCUGGCGGCAUGCUUUACACAUGCAAGUCGAACGGUAACAGGCCUUCGGGUGCUGACGAGUGGCGAACGGGUGAGUAAUGCAUCGGAACGUGCCCAGAGGUGGGGGAUAACGCAGCGAAAGCUGUGCUAAUACCGCAUGUGAUCUGAGGAUGAAAGCGGGGGACCAGGCAGCAAUGUUUGGCCUCGCGCCUUUGGAGCGGCCGAUGUCAGAUUAGGUAGUUGGUGGGGUAAAGGCCUACCAAGCCGACGAUCUGUAGCUGGUCUGAGAGGACGACCAGCCACACGGGGAGUGAGACAGCGCCCAGCCUCCUGCGGGGGGAAGCAGGGGGGAUUUUGGGAAAAGGGGGGCAGGCCUGACCCAGCAAGGCCGCGGGCGGAAAGAGGGCCUUGGGUUUGUAAACCUUUUUUGUAGGGAAGAAAAAGGCUCGGGCUAAUCCCGGGGGCUGAGGACGGUACCGAAAAAAAAGGCCCGGGCAAGUUACGGG